UACGUAGGGUGCAAGCGUUAAUCGGAAUUACUGGGCGUAAAGCGUGCGCAGGCGGCUUUGCAAGACAGAUGUGAAAGCCCCGGGCUCAACCUGGGAAUUGCAUUUGAGACUGCGUAGCUAGGGUGCGGAAGAGGGAAGCGGAAUUUCCGGUGUAGCGGUGAAAUGCGUAGAUAUCGGAAGGAACACCAGUGGCGAAAGCGGCUUCCUGGUCCAGCACCGACGUUCAGGCACGAAAGCGUGGGGAGCAAACAGG
rnacentral:rRNA from 1 species